CUCCCUUCUCUGUCCCACCUACCACUUCCUUUCAUCUUUCUCUCUUUCAUCAUCACUGUGCUUCCUGCACGUUCCCUGUUCCUGUGCUCCCAGACCAGCGUGCUUGGGCAUCCAGGGAGUGUGCUGCAGAGCUCGGAAGCUGAGGCAGGAGUUCUGAUGCUUAAUUCUGCCCUUUGCUCCAGCAGAUUCCCUUCCAGAGCUGCUGAAAAUGGAAUUGAUGAGCUGGGAGGAAACAGUUGCUUUGGAGAAAUGGCACGGUUCCAGAUAUGGGGCUCAGUGAGCUGGGGCAAGAACUCUGAAGACAAGAUUGGCUGGUUUCGCUUCUCCCUCCUCACCCUGGAUCCCUUAUAGGAAUCACAGAUGGAUGAUUUGAGAUGAGCCUUAAAGGAAAGGAAAAUGUAUCUUUCUCUCCACCAGCAUCAACUGUAAGAGAGAAUUUGGGGCCUGAAGAUUAAAAGAUUUGCCCCAUCUCCAAUCUGCAUUACAAAGACUCUUUGAAGUUAUGUCCAGGAAAGGCUAUACUAAAAACAGGAUAAAUAAUAAAACUAGAUUGAAUGGAU